rnacentral:rRNA from 1 species
GAUGAACGCUGGCGGCGUGCUUAACACAUGCAAGUCGAACGGUGAAGCCCAGCUUGCUGGGUGGAUCAGUGGCGAACGGGUGAGUAACACGUGAGCAACCUGCCCUGGACUCUGGGAUAAGCGCUGGAAACGGCGUCUAAUACUGGAUAUGAGACGUGGCCGCAUGGUCAACGUUUGGAAAGAUUUUUCGGUCUGGGAUGGGCUCGCGGCCUAUCAGCUUGUGGGUGAGGUAAUGGCUUACCAAGGCGUCGACGGGUAGCCGGCCUGAGAGGGUGACCGGCCACACUGGGACUGAGACACGGCCCAGACUCCUACGGGAGGCAGCAGUGGGGAAUAUUGCACAAUGGGCGGAAGCCUGAUGCAGCAACGCCGCGUGAGGGAUGACGGCCUUCGGGUUGUAAACCUCUUUUAGCAAGGAAGAAGCUUUUGUGACGGUACUUGCAGAAAAAGCGCCGGCUAGCUACGUGCCAGCAGCCGCCGUAA